rnacentral:rRNA from 1 species
CUCAGUGUUUAUGGAGGAGGGGGUACACCCGGUCCCAUUCCGAACCCGGCAGUUAAGCCCUCCAUCGCCGAAGGUACUACGGCGGAAGGCCGUGGGAGACUAGGACGAUGCUGAGC